rnacentral:rRNA from 1 species
GUAGGUGGCAAGCGUUGUCCGGAAUUAUUGGGCGUAAAGCGCGCGCAGGCGGUUCUUUAAGUCUGAUGUGAAAGCCCACGGGCUCAACCGUGGAGGGUCAUUGGAAACUGGAGAACUUGAGUACAGAAGAGGAAAGCGGAAUUCCACGUGUAGCGGUGAAAUGCGUAGAGAUGUGGAGGAACACCAGUGGCGAAGGCGGCUUUCUGGUCUGUAACUGACGCUGAGGCGCGAAAGCGUGGGGAGCAAACAGGAUUAGAUACCCUGGUAGUCCACGCCGCAAACGAUGAGUGCUAAGUGUUAGGGGGUUUCCGCCCCUUAGUGCUGCAGCUAACGCAUUAAGAACUCCGCCUGGGGAGUACGGCCGCAAGGCUG